UCUACAACAACUCUUAGACAUACAACCUACUGCAACUACUACUCCUAGUAGUUCUGAUCCUUCUGAUUCUUCAGAUCCUUCUGUUGUUGGUUCAUCCUCUAGCAAAAAGAGGACACGUGGCCUAACACGUAACUUAGAUUUACUUAGUAUGAAACCCGGGAAAAAAAAAACUACACGAUUCAAUACCAGAGGGCAAGUUGUUUAUGAUGGAAAAGGGAAAAGAUUGUCAAGCUAUAUGGGAACAUUGGUGCGAUCUCAACACAAUGUACCCAUCCAAGUUCAAGAUUGGAAUCAUGUUAGUGAAGAUGUGAAGGAAAAGAUUUGGGCCUUAGUAUUGGAAAAAUAUGAACUAGAAGAAACAUGUAAGAGCUACAUUC